rnacentral:tRNA from 1 species
GGAGUCGUAUCGAAGUGGUCAUAACGAGCCUGACUCGAAAUCAGGUUGUCGAGCAAUCGGCACGUGAGUUCGAAUCUCACCGCCUCCGCCA